GCUACGGGAGGCAGGAGGGAGGAAUAGUGGUCAAUGGGCGGACGCCUGAACCAGCCAAGUCGCGUGAGGGAAGACUGCCCUAUGGGUUGUAAACCUCUGUUGUCAGGGAGCAACGCCGGCUACGUGUAGCCGGACGGAGAGGACCUGAAGAAAAAGCAGCGGCUAACUCCGUGCCAGCAGCCGCGGUAAUACGGAGGAUGCGAGCGUUAUCCGGAUUUAUUGGGUUGAAAGGGUGCGUAGGCGGAAUGCCAAGUCAGCGGUAAAAUCGCGGGGCUCAACCUCGCUCCGCCGUUGAAACUGGCGUUCUUGAUUGGGCGAGACGUAUGCGGAAUGCGUGGUGUAGCGGUGAAAUGCAUAGCUAUCACGCAGAACUCCGAUUGCGAAGGCAGCAUACCGGCGCCCAACUGACGCUGACGCACGAAAGCGUGGGUAUCGAACAGGCUUAGAUACCCGUGUAGUC
rnacentral:rRNA from 1 species